ACUGUGAAAGGCGCUUAGGCGCCGUCUGAAGAUGACCUGCGGUUAUUAGCUAGUUGGUAGGUAACGGCUACCAGGCGACGAUAAGUAGCCGGCCUGAGAGGGUGGACGUGCCACACUGNGGACUGAGACACGGCCCAGACUCCUACGGGAGGCAGCAGCUAAGAAUCUUCCGCAAUGGGCGAAAGCNCUGACGGAGCGACGCCGCGUGGGUGAAGAAGGCCGAAAGGUUGUAAAGCCCUUUUCUCGCAGAAGAAUAAGGGGCAGGAGGGAAUGCCUGUCUGAUGACGUAGUGAGGAAUAAGCCCCGGCCAAUUACGUGCCAGCAGCCGCGGUAACACGGUAUGGGGCGAGCGUUGUUCGGAAUCAUUGGGCGUAAAGGGCGCGCAGGCGGUUAAAUAAGCCUGGUGUGAAAGGCUACAGCUCAACUGUAGUUUCGCGCUGGGAACUGUUUGACUAGAGUUCUGGAGGGGAAGCUGGAAUUCCUGGUGUAGGGGUGAAAUCUGUAGAUAUCAGGAAGAACACCGGUGGCGAAGGCGAGCUUCUAGCCAAGAACUGACGCUGAGGCGCGAAAGCGUGGGGAGCGAACAGGAUUAGAUACCCUGGUAGUCCACGCUGUAAACGAUGUGCACUAGGUGUUGGUCCAUAAGGAUCGGUGCCGGAAAGCUAACGCGAUAAGUGCACCGCCUGGGGAGUAUGCUCGCAAGGGUGAAACUCAAAGGAAUUGACGGGGGCCCGCACAAGCGGUGGAGCAUGUGGUUUAAUUCGAUGAUACGCGAGAAACCUUACCAGGGCUUGACAUAUACCGGAUGUUCGCGAGAGAUCGUGAUUCCCUUCGGGGCCGGUAUACAGGUGCUGCAUGGCUGUCGUCAGCUCGUGCCGUGAGGUGUUGGGUUAAGUCCCGCAACGAGCGCAACCCCUGCUGUCUGUUGCUAACAGGUGAAGCUGAGGACUCAGACGGAACUGCCNCGGUGACAAANCCCGGAGGAACGGUGGGGACGACGUCAAGUCAUCAUGGCCCUUAUGUCCUGGCGACACACGUGCUACAAUGGCUGGUACCAGAGCGAAGCAAGACCGCGAGGUGGAGCAAAUCGCAGAAGCCGGUCUCAGU
rnacentral:rRNA from 1 species